UACGUAGGGUGCGAGCGUUAAUCGGAAUUACUGGGCGUAAAGCGUGCGCAGGCGGUUUUGUAAGUCUGACGUGAAAUCCCCGGGCUUAACCUGGGAAUUGCGUUGGAGACUGCAAGGCUGGAGUCUGGCAGAGGGGGGUAGAAUUCCACGUGUGAGCAGUGAAAUGCGUAGAGAUGUGGAGGAACACCGAUGGCGAAGACAGCCCCCUGGGUCAAGACUGACGCUCAUGCACGAAAGCGUGGGGAGCAAACAGG
rnacentral:rRNA from 1 species